rnacentral:tRNA from 1 species
GGAGAGGUGCCCGAGAGGCCGAAGGGAGCACAUUGCUAAUGUGUCGUAGUCAUUGCGGCUACCGAGGGUUCGAAUCCCUCUCUCUCCG